rnacentral:misc_RNA from 1 species
AAGUCGUAACAAGGUUUCCGUAGGUGAACCUGCGGAAGGAUCAUUACCAAAUCCAAAAAAAACUUUCUAUCAACACCCCAAUGUGAACUGAGAAUGGUUUCGUCCCUUCUCCUUGCCUUCCUUUCCUUUUUUUGGAAGGGGAGGAGGAGGAGGAGGGAUGUCAAACAACUUUUUUUCAACCCCUUUUCAACCAUUAAAUACCCCAUUUUUUUAAUGCUGAAAGCAACCAAAAAAACGAAACAUGAGACAACUUUUAACGGUGGAUCUCUUGGCUCGU